rnacentral:lncRNA from 1 species
UCCUCCAUCAACAAAGUCAUCUUCAGGGAUGUAUUCAUCUUCCACCUCUGGGAGACCAACCCAUUUGACCUUGUACUCGAAUUUGACCUGGUUCCUGCGUACUGAUACAGGACGGUGCUGAACAAUCCUUUCCAGUUGCCAGAUUGGAGUGCCAUCAGUGUCAUAUGAGAGUAGCGGAGUAGAGUACACUGGCUCCUCGCCUUCACGGAUGCGGUAGGGCUUGACCUGAGAAACAUGGAACACAUUGUGACAACGCAUAUGCUCAGGCAGACUGAGCUUCACAGCAACAGGACCAACCAUCUUGAUAACAGAGAAAGGACCCAUCCAUUUAGGCAUGAGUUUCUGUCCUCGCCCCUGAGAGAAGUUCUGAGUACUGAGAAGCACAAGCUGAUUUGGAUGAUAUGUGAUCUCUGGGCGGUUCUGAUUGUAGUAGGCCUGUUGUCUGWCCUGCGCAGAUUGGAGAGACUUUUUGGCACGAUUYAGAGUCUCUUGYARGUCUGCAGCAAAGUCUGAU